AUUGAACGCUGGCGGCAGGCUUAACACAUGCAAGUCGAGCGAGCGGCGGACGGGUGAGUAAUGUCUGGGAAACUGCCUGAUGGCGGGGGAUAACUAAUGGAAACGGUAGCUAAUACCGCAUACCAUCAGAUGUGCCCAGAUGGGAUUAGCUAAUAGGUGGGGUAAUGGCUCACCUAGGCGACGAUCCCUAGCUGGUCUGAGAGGAUGACCGACCACACUGUAACUGAGACACGGGCCAGACUCCUACGGGAGGCAGCAGUGGGGAAUAUUGCACAAUGGGCGCAAGCCUGAUGCAGCCAUGCCGCGGGUGUGAAGAAGGCUUUCGGGUUGGAAAGCACGUUCAGCGGGUAGGCGUUACUCGCAGAAGAAGCCACGGCUAACUACGUGCCAGCAGCCGCGGUAAUUC
rnacentral:rRNA from 1 species